CUGGUGUCCAAUCACCAUCAUGAUUAACAAUGCAUAACGAAUAACGAAUAACAAAAAACACCUUGCAUCCAGCCUGCUUCCAGGGUGUCACAAAUACAUGCUCACACAUAUAUAUGCGCACAUCAGUAGGGAGGAAGAGCAGGCACUGAGCAAAGACAGGAAGAAGGUGCAGAUGGCAAGCAUGGAGUCAGCAUGCAUCUAUGCCGUGAGAGGACAUCAGAGCUCUGUGCUUGCACAGGUGCAUCGCAUAUCCCAAGCGGUGGGAGCAUUUUGCACAUCUGGAAACAGUCCGUCAACAUCUGAUUCUGAU